UACGUAGGGGGCAAGCGUUGUCCGGAAUCAUUGGGCGUAAAGCGCGUGUAGGCGGCCAGUCAAGUCCGCUGUGAAAACUCGAGGCUCAACUUCGAGCUGUCGGUGGAAACUUUCUGGCUAGAGUCCGGAAGAGGAGAAUGGAAUUCCUGGUGUAGCGGUGAAAUGCGCAGAUAUCAGGAAGAACACCCGUGGCGAAGGCGGUUCUCUGGGACGGUACUGACGCUGAGACGCGAAAGCGUGGGGAGCGAACAGG
rnacentral:rRNA from 1 species